AAGAACUCCGGCUGGUGGCAUACCAGCGUUAGCCCGAGAACCGGAGGCUCGUUAGUCUUAGAUACUCCGUCCUCAAUCAAAAAAUGGAAAGAGGAGUUUUUCUAUGUGUCCGGAGAAUGGCAAUUCCAUCCUUCCAAGGUGGACAGAGAGGAUGUGGUCCCUAGGCUCUACCAUUCAUUGUGUAAGUGAUUAUAAGUUUGCUUCUUUGAUGAGGUCUGCACUGAUGCGAUAUUGACCUUUGUCCUUUUUGGCAGAUUAUAAAAAGGAGAAUUUGACAAGAGAUAUACAAAGGAGAGUUGAGGUGAUAAGGAAGUUGCCAAAGAGGCAGAGAUCUUGUAAGUUUGUGAUCUCGAAUUCAAACCUCUUUCAGGCUGGUUUAGUGCAAGUGUCGGCGUCUAGUCCAUCUACUCCGAGAGUGUCUACCUCAGUCUCGUCCAGCUCAGGUGAAGGUUAAGCAUUUGUUAUUAUUAUUAAUACAUAUGAUAAUGAUAUUAUAUCUUUCUUCCCAUUUCAGCACAUCACUUCGUGAUGCUAGGCUACAAAGCAGCUAAGGCAGCAGCUGCGGCUAAGGGGAAGAGGAGGGAGGUUCCAGCUGUGGAGAGUCAUUCGGAGGGGAUUGAGGAGGACUCCUAGCCACUUAAGAGGAAUCGAUCUACAACGCCUGGCGACCCUCUUCCUCAGGCAACCUUUACUCCAGUUGCUUCUCUUCCUAGGUCGGUCGAGGAGGUUACUUCGUCGCCGAUGGUCCCAACUGCCGUGCCCAUGAUUUUGGUGUUUGAAAUACCGACAGUUACAUUGUCAUCCUCAACUCCUCCGAGUGCCCCAACUGCUGCCUCUACCAGCUAAGUCAGGUCGCAAGAUCGGUGUCCGGACUUACAACGACCGAGCUUGGAGAGUUUGCUGGGCCAUCGGCCGGAGAUAUUUUUGGAUUUUCUAUGUGCUCCUUCUCCGUCGAGAAAGACUAUCGCGGCCUUCUCCUCACCUUUGCAUGAAUUCACCAACCUUCUCACAAGGAGUUGGGGGAAAAAGAAAUAGAACUUCUUGGGGGAGAUGCCUGUUGAGGAGGCCAUUGUCACUGCUCAACUUCAUGGUCAUCGCUCCAUCUUGUACAUGAUGUCGGUGGUGGACAAGGUACUUAUCCUCAGUAAUGCUUGUGUUUCAGAUAUUUUGUUACUUGUCAUGUUUUAACUGUAUUUGCUUUUUGACCUUCUCAGGUAAAAGCCGAACUCGACAAGCUACUUGAGGCCAAGGAUUAGGCCGUAAAAUUAUAUGAGAGUAUGAAUGAGGAAAAAGAGAAUUUUGCUACCAAGGAGGAAGAUUACAGAGGUCAACUUCAAAAAUGUGUAAGGAGCUGAAUGCUAUGCUAACCUCUGAGCGGAAUCUCCCGGACGAGGUUGGUGCUUUAAAGAUUUGGGGUGAGAAGGCCAACAAGAGGGCCGAGAUAGAGAAGAAGAGAGCUGAAGAGGAGAGGGCGCGGGCGGAAAAUCUGAGGGCCCAGGUUUUCGAGGAGCGUUCUCAUACGUUAAAGGCUAUUAAGAAGAUGGAGGAAGCUCGUGCGAGGUCAAACGACGUAAUGAAGAGAGCUGAAGAGGCUGAGGCCAAAGGUAUCAGAGCUAUGGAGGCUUGAAGAGAAUCUCCAAAGUUUGACGCCUUAUCCCAAGAUGCGUAUGUAGUGGCCUUGGAAGAGUUAAUAAAGUACGUCCGAAUGGAGAGACCGGAGUUCGAUGCUACCUUUUUGGACGAAGCACUAGGCGAGUAGAGGGAGGAGCUACGCAAAUUGUUCGAAGCUGCUGGAGUUCAGAUAUCUCCUGCUGACCAGGAUGUUGAGGGUAGCGCCCCAUUCCCCCAAGACCCUUAGGAGGUUGUUGUUUUGGAGAUAUUUGGUAUUUUGUAAUAUGUUUUGACUCAUUUGUGAAGUUCAUUUCGAUGUUUCAUGACAUUUUAUUUGGAAUGGAUGACUGUUUAUGUUUUAGCAUGAUUUCCUUAACAACGAUCUCGUUUAUAUGCGACAAUACCUCACAAACUUAGCUAAAUUUGCCUUCCUAAUGGGAUAUUUUGACUAAGUGUCAUAGCACAUACGACCUUAGCUAGAAUUGCAUAUAGGGAAGGAUCUUUGAGAAUUUCUAAGGAAGAGUUCUCACUAGGUAUCGUAGCGUGUAUGACCUUAGCUUGGCCUGCGUAAUUUCGUAGAAUUCCUUAGGAAGAAUUUUUUUAGAAUAAUCUUAGAUCAGCUUGCGUAUGGAGCAGGGUUUUGUAAGAUUCCUUAGGAGAAAUGUCCACUAAGGGUAAUACAUACAGCCUUAGAUUGGCCUGCGUAUGAAGCAGGGCUUUGUAAGAUCUCUUAGGAGGAAUUUUCACUAAGGCUAAUACGUACAUCCUUAGAU
rnacentral:lncRNA from 1 species